CUAUGGUUCUAGACCCUUUAUCGACCACAUCAGACUGUUUUUCUCUGACAAUCUAGGUAAGGGAAGCCAUUCUUUCUCGGGCUUCCUUCUCAUGCCCGAGUUGUGGGUUCCUAUUCUGCCCCGGGCAAGUUUGUAGAUGGUGUUUUGGUUUUAGAGUGCAGCCGGUAGAGACAAGAAGAGGGAUUCUUUGUGGCUAUUGUAGCUCAUAUGGUUUUGGUUUCCUUUGUUCUUUGUUUUGUAUCUGCUGCAUGCGUGUGUUUUUAAGGAGCUGUUGUCCAUUUGUUUGUGGUAUUGGUUUGUUAGGGUCUAUUUCAUGGUGUGGGCUUUGAAGGAAAUUGGGGAAGGAAGUCAUCUCAAGGUCCUUACCAUACCGACACCCAAUGGUGCUUGCUGACCCAAGAUUGGGAGCUAUGCUUCCUUCACCACUAGCACCAAAGAUAGAUCCUUUACUGUUGGAGUGUGGGCACUUCGUUUUCGGUCAAGAUCCUUUCUUGUACUGGUUAUGAUGGCCAUACCUGGCUUCCAGAGGAAAGGACUUUUGUGUAUUUCUUGCUCCAAUAGUUUCAGCUUGCCUUCCCGAUACUCUUGAGUUGCUGUCAUCUAGGAGACCACCUCUUCAAGCAUCUUCAACUGUGUACACUGCCCCAAUGGUGCUUCAGUUAGUCUCACUUCUCCCAUUGGUGUUAGCCAGAUGAUCAAGCUGGGGCUGUUGCGAUUCUCGUUGGGAUUCCUCUAUUAUGUUCUCUGAGGCGCCAUUUUUUUUGUCUAUCAGGUCAUGGAUUUGCUAGUCUAGACUCUUUUUUCUGUUAGUGUUUCUUUUGUAAUCGAUUUAUGCUUUUAUUUGAGCAGAGUUGGUCUUUUAGCUGGAAUCCUUGUUUGUUUGCCCAUGGAUCUGUUUCUGUAAUUUGGCCUCAUGGCUUGUUUAUUCAAUGAAACCUAUCUUUAUUUUUCGAGGAAAAGAAAAACACACACAGGGGUUGAGUCAUAUAGAUUCAUUUUCCAGAGAGGGGAAAAAGAAUAAGAGAUUCCUAAAAGCCUUUCUUUUCCAAAUCCAUUCCUUCACAUAAAAUCAAUGUUUCUAAGCUAACUGGUAAAAAUAAGGUUCCCAACCACCUUGUUUUCUUGAAAAUUCACUCAUCACGGAUACAGUGGGGCUAAACCUAAUGCAGAUUCCAGAUGAGUAACCAGCAAUAUCCCUCUAAUGUACAUUUCAUCAUGCAGGAUAAUCAUAAUCUGCCAUCAUUAGUGGGAUUCCACAAGUACAUACAAGGGUUUGCCAUUCAAUCGCUCACGACCUUUUAAAUCUGGUAAUUCGAUUACACAAGCACAUUCAACAACUUCUGCUCCAGCACGUUCUGAGAUUAUAUUUGCAAAUUCAUUAGAAACCCAAGCAGAUUUCAAAUUUUGAGUGAUAUUUAAAGCAAUCACAUUGGGAUGAAAUUGAGCAUAAUUAUUGCAAAUGAAUGUUGAUAACCCCUUAAAAGCUUAGGUAAAAACCAAAAUCUACAUCAUAUCAUCAGAUGGCCUGUUUUCCACACUCCAAUAAAGAUUGUGAAAAACAAGAUUUUAUUUCUCACAUGCAUUAAAUUAGACAUAGGAAUUAAAGAUGCUGAUGUUAAUCUAAGAUUGAUUUUAAACAUGAUGAAACAUGCUUGUCAUGCAAGAUGCAAAUUGUUCUUCCUUGUGCCAUCCAACAUUUACGAAAGAUCAGAUAAUAUUACAAGCAUGAAUGUAAUACACGUACACAUCAUUUAAGAACAAAAAUAUUCAUGCAUCGAAAUCUAUUAAAAAAAGGUGAAACUCAUGAUGAAGAAAAGAAUAAGUACAUCUUGAUUUAAAAGAUCUUAUGACAUAGUUACCAAGUAAAUUCAUAGCUGCUCGCAGGGUGCCACCAGUAGCAAUCAAAUCAUCAACCACCAAAGCACGUUCCCCUGCACUGACCGCUCCAACAUGCAUCUCAAGACAGUCACUUCCAUAUUCCAGAACAUACUCUUCUUUAAUAACUUCACCAGGCAAUUUCUUUGGUUUUCUCAAUGGAACAAACUUUGCUCCAAUUGCCAAUGCAAUAGGAGGUCCAAAUAUAAAUCCUCGUGCCUCUAUUCCUGGAAAUAAAAUUCCUGGUAUUUCAGAAAUACAACACCUCAAACAAUUUCAAAAGACUUUCUUAAUUACAGAAAAAUUUACCUACAUCAUGUAGCAGGAUGCAAAACAAGGUGCAAGUAUAAAUGAAUUUUUCCAAAGUUGAAUGCUCUCAAGUCUAGUGUUAAAUUGUGAAUUUUCUUUCGGGGAAAAAUGGGAAGGGGGGUUUUGUUCUUCUAAUUGACAAUAAAUAACAGAAACUUUUAAAGAAACGGUGACAAAUCAAUGAAACAACUACACAACUUAAAGUGGCAGUGUGACACCCUUGAUAUUGCUAAGAAAACAAUGCAUUUCAACAUUGGAUGGAGAAAAGUUCAUCAGCAAAAACAAGCGCAAUUUGUGCUCAAAUCUCCACCACUGCUCCAUCCAGAAAAAGGACAAAAAGGUAAUAGAAAAAGAAACUUUCAGUUCAUUAAUUGAUCUCAUGAAUCUCAUUCUCCACCAAUGUAGUAACAUCAAAAGGCACAAUCCACCUGCUUGUGCUGAAGAUACCAACGACAUGAUGUUGCAUUAACAUACACAGACUAGAUCAAAUGGCAAAAUAUUUAUCCAUCAAAUAGGCAUUCAAAUUGUAUGCAAAGCAGUUAGAAUGCAUUCAGAGUGUAAUAGCCAAGACAAAACACAAAAACAAAAAUAUGAAAAGAUACAACCAAAGUUUACGGUUGCUGUAUAUUACCUCAAGAACACAGAUACAAAAUGCAAAAAAUUGUAGAGCAUUAGGCGAGGAGAAAUAUUUUAAUGGCUAGAAAACAAAUGGCAUGUUCACAACAUCCCUUUUUCAGGAUAAAAUAAAGAAUUGCUAGCAAUUGAACCAUAGCAAUAUCUGCAAUUGAUUUAUGCUCCAAUGAGAGUCGAGAACUGUAUACGGGAAGAAUUCAAUCUCCGCCACCAAAUGUCUAUAUCAUCACUGCAGAACAGUUUAUCAUAAAAGACCUAUAGAUUUCAUGACAAUACAACGAUGAAGCACUUCAAAUGAUUAAUCUUUCAAAAUUACUUGGAAGUCAAAGACACAAGCACUGGCAUAGCCAAAUGAUGGAAUGAGAAAAGCUUAACCAUAUCAGCAACCAAAACCUUUUAACCAAAGAACUGUUUCUUAUCAGAACUUUAGCUAGGAAAACAGUUAUAUUUGUGAGAAAAAUAUCUUUAACAGUAACUUCAACAUAGGAUAUUAGAUAUAAGGGUUCUAAAUAUAAUUUGAAUUUCAAAAUAAGUAAAUAAAUAAAUAAACUGCAGUUUGCAAAAGACAAGAAUAUAAUGUCAAAUGUGAUUAUUUUAAGCUUAGUGGGGAGGGUGUAGUCUCUCCAUGAUGGUCGAGCGUGACAUACAUCUAUUGAUGUAUUCUCUGAACUAGGCCUUCCACUGAACAACCCUAUGAUCACAUGCUCUGGACCUAAUCCAGCGGAUAACAUCAACUAGGCAGACAAAAGAUAAGAAGUUGCAGAAACCUUUAUCUCACAGAGGAAAAUGCCACGACUUUAUAAUUUUAAGAGAAGAUUCCACAAAUGUAUAAAGUUUCUCACGAACACAAUAAGACAACAGACGUCCAGAUGAGCACACAAAAAGACAGAUUCUAAUGCCACACAUUACGACAAAGCACAUAUAUACUAAAUGUUGACCAAAUCCUUUGUGAUCCAAAAAUAUAAUUAAAAUGAGGACCAUUGCCAAUAUAAUGAUGAGAUCAUGAAAACUUUUCAACUUUGCACAAGUUUGUGGAAGAAAUAGCACGUCAUAUGUGUAUUGGAAUUUUGCUAUUAGUCGUGAAUGCCAGACAACCCAUCAUGUAUGGUCCUUUAACACAGAAAUAUGUUCAUCAACAUAUGAUGCAUAAAUGCAAGUAACUCACCACUUAACUAACAACUCAGACACUCUAUUUGCUCAAGAAACAGUUAAAGACAAGGAGAUUUAUCAUUAUCAAUAGAGGAAUUUAACCAACGUACAAAAUCGCCAAGUGAAUGCCAAAGAAACAAGACCCACUAUAUUGAACACAAAAAUUCAUGUAUCUCAGACUCUCAGAGAAUUUGGAUACAAGUUAAAAAGAGGAAACGGAAUUGCAUCAUGAGAAAGAAAAGAGUAUAAACAUGAGGCAUGGGAUUGGGAUAAACACAUGUGAAGUUCCCUAUUACAAUGGAGCCAAAAUAAACCGGCCCAGUGGUAACUCGCAUUAUUUGGGUCCACCUUUUCAACAAGGUGGGCAUCCAUCACCAACCACCAUCAAUCCACCCAAAUCGGAUCCCAGCACCUGCCCAUAACGCCAACAACAGCAACGACAGAGAGAGAGAGAGAGAGAGA
rnacentral:misc_RNA from 1 species